rnacentral:lncRNA from 1 species
CUCUGCCACCUCAGGCCCAUCCAGUAGCUCUGCAUUGACAGCCCUCUAGGCUAAGUUCUUAAUGCGUUUCAUUCCAUGGUAUAUUGUUUAGAUUAUCUUAUUACUGGUAAUGCUAACUUGACCACUUGGGUUUACAGUGCUGUCUGCAAGGUUUCUCUAUUGUAAAGUUGAUUUUUUUCCUCAAAGUAUUUUGUAAAGGGUUACUUUCAAACUAUCACAUUCUUCAACAUGUUGUUACUGAGUUCAUGUAUUUAGAUUGGGAUAGACUUGUGGAUUUUUAAUGUCUUAUAAUCCAUUAUCAUUUUUAUUGUAAUGUUCAAAUUGUCCCAGUCUGACCAGUGAGAAUCCCUUAAAGAUGGCUUCUGUAUCCUCCUGAAUUGACCCUAUUACUUUUUUAUUUUCACACACAACAAGAUGUACGAGGCUUGCCCUAUAUUUUCCCUGCCCUAGGCCUGGAAUUAUUCAUUUUCCCAAGGAAUUCUGGUCCCUUUUAGUAGAAAAUGGUGUUUAGAGACCAAGAUCUGAGUUCUAGGCGUGCUAAUUGCUACUGGUAUGUUGCUUCUCCCAGGCCCUCUCAGGGGAGACUUGACAUGAAGCAAGAACCAAGAGAUCUCUGGAAUAAUUAAGAAAGAAAAAAAUCCCCUCUCUUCAAACAAUUUGGUCCAAAACUACCAGAUGAAGCCAAAAUGGGAGAACGGAACCUGAUGCCUCCUGGGCCAGUUCAAAUGGUCUCCCUGAGAAUUUGGACUUCUCAAAGAGAAAGUUAUCUGUGUGUAUGGACUAAAACACACAGCACUUUGGAAAUGAUGGCAGUCAGAUUCUGCCACUGAGGAGAGGAGGAAGUCCAUCUGAGGUAAGAUGGUAAAACCAAGUAGAUAUUCAGAAGGCAGUCAAGAUGUGAGACAGAGAGUUCUGACUUGGUUCUCUACCUGACUGUGUUCGUUUUUGAUGUUUCGUGAUCCACUCCAUUGUCCUUGCAAUAAAUCUCCCUUUUCCGGUGAAACUAGCUAGAAU